ensembl:misc_RNA Metazoa_SRP Metazoan signal recognition particle RNA
GCCGGGUGUGGUGGCGCACGCCUGUAGUCCCAGCUACUCGGGAGGCUGAGGCAGGAGAAUCGCUUGAACCCGGGAGGCGGAGGUUACAGUGAGCCGAGAUCGUGCCACUGCACUCCCGCCUGGGCAACAGAGUAAGACUCCGUCUCAA